UACGUAGGGGGCAAGCGUUGUCCGGAUUUACUGGGUGUAAAGGGUGCUCAGGCGGAUUCGUAAGUCAGUGGUGAAAUCCCGGAGCUUAACUCCGGAACUGCCAUUGAUACUGCGAGUCUCGAGUUUGGAAGAGGUAGAUGGAAUAUCUGGUGUAGCAGUGAAAUGCGUAGAUAUCAGAUAGAACACCAAUGGCGAAGGCAGUCUACUGGUCCAAUACUGACGCUAAAGCACGAAAGUGUGGGUAGCAAACAGGAUUAGAUACCCUGGUAGUCCACACCCUAAACGAUGAAUACUAGACGUUGGUCCUUUUAAGGAUCAGUGUCUGAGCUAACGCAUUAAGUAUUCCACCUGGGAAGUACGAUCGCAAGGUUG
rnacentral:rRNA from 1 species